UCGGGCGUGGUGUACGGAACACUGCGGGUCUUCUUCGUCAAAGAACACGAGAGACUUGGGAGCCCGCAGACCGGGGUUCGACUCCCCGCGCCCGAA